rnacentral:rRNA from 1 species
GAUGAACGCUGGCGGCGUGCCUAACACAUGCAAGUCGAACGGAGUUGUCACCAUGAAGUUUUCGGAUGGAAUGGAGGCAACUUAGUGGCGGACGGGUGAGUAACGCGUGGGUAACCUGCCUCAUACUGGGGGAUAACAGCUGGAAACGGCUGCUAAAACCGCAUAAGAUCGCAUCACCGCAUGGUGAGGCGGUUAAAUAUCGAAAGAUAGGUAUGAGAUGGGCCCGCGUCUGAUUAGCUAGUUGGUGAGAUAAGAGCCCACCAAGGCGACGAUCAGUAGCCGGCUUGAGAGAGUGACCGGCCACAUUGGGACUGAGACACGGCCCAAACUCCUACGGGAGGCAGCAGUGGGGAAUAUUGCACAAUGGGGGAAACCCUGAUGCAGCGACGCCGCGUGAGUGGAGAAGUGCUUCGGCAUGUAAAGCUCUAUCAGCAGGGAAGAAGAUGACGGUACCUGACUAAGAAGCCCCGGCUAACUACGUG